GAUGAACGCUGGCGGCGUGCCUAAUACAUGCAAGUCGAGCGAACAGACGAGGAGCUUGCUCCUCUGAUGUUAGCGGCGGACGGGUGAGUAACACGUGGAUAACCUACCUAUAAGACUGGGAUAACUUCGGGAAACCGGAGCUAAUACCGGAUAACAUGUUGAACCGCAUGGUUCAACAGUGAAAGACGGUCUUGCUGUCACUUAUAGAUGGAUCCGCGCCGCAUUAGCUAGUUGGUAAGGUAACGGCUUACCAAGGCAACGAUGCGUAGCCGACCUGAGAGAGUGAUCGGCCACAGUGGAACUGAGACACGGUCCAGACUCCUACGGGAGGCAGCAGUAGGGAAUCUUCCGCAAUGGGCGAGAGCCUGACGGAGCAGCGCCGCGUGAGUGAAGAAGGUCUUCGGAUCGUAAAACUCUGUUAUUAGGGAAGAACAAAUGUGUAAGUAACUAUGCACGUCUUGACGGUACCUAAUCAGAAAGCCACGGCUAACUACGUG
rnacentral:rRNA from 1 species